rnacentral:rRNA from 1 species
UUCCGGUUGAUCCUGCCGGAGGCCAUUGCUAUCGGAGUCCGAUUUAGCCAUGCUAGUCGAGCGAGGUUAGCCCUCGCGGCGAACAGCUCAGUAACACGUGGCCAAGCUACCCUGCAGAGGGGGACAGCGUCGGGAAACUGACGGGAAUCCCCCAUACCGGUCUCACGCUGGAAUGCCGAGACCGACAAACGCUCCGGCGCUGCAGGAUGCGGCUGCGGCCGAUUAGGUAGUCGGUGGGGUAACGGCCCACCGAGCCGAUAAUUGGUACGGGGUGUGAGAGCACGAGCCCGGAGACGGAAUCUGAGACAAGAUUCCGGGCCCUACGGGGCGCAGCAGGCGCGAAACCUUUACACUGCACGAACGUGCGAUAAGGGGACUCCGAGUGCGAGGGCAUACAGUCCUCGCUAUUGUGUACCGUAGGGUGGUACACGACCAAGAGCUGGGCAAGACCGGUGCCAGCCGCCGCGGUAAUACCGGCAGCUCGAGUGAUGGCCGAUUUUAUUGGGCCUAAAGCGUCCGUAGCUGGCCCUGCAAGUCCGUCGGGAAAUCCACUCGCCUAACGAGUGGGCGUCCGGCGGAAACUACAGGGCUUGGGACCGGAAGACUUGAGGGGUACGUCUGGGGUAGGAGCGAAAUCCUGUAAUCCUGGACGGACCGCCGAUAGCGAAAGCACCUCAAGACGACGGAUCCGACAGUGAGGGACGAAAGCUAGGGUCUCGAACCGGAUUAGAUACCCGGGUAGUCCUAGCUGUAAACGAUGUUCGCUAG